CCUACGGGAGGCAGCAGUGGGGAAUUUUGGACAAUGGGGGAAACCCUGAUCCAGCCAUCCCGCGUGUAUGAUGAAGGCCUUCGGGUUGUAAAGUACUUUUGGCAGAGAAGAAAAGGUAUCUCCUAAUACGAGAUACUGCUGACGGUAUCCUGCAGAAUAAGCACCGGCUAACUACGUGC
rnacentral:rRNA from 1 species